rnacentral:lncRNA from 1 species
AUGUCUCUAUCCGAUGAGAAUAACGCAAACUUUUCAGAUGAUAGCUGUGACCACUUAUAUCACCCGAAAGUAAUCAUGAGCACCGUUCCCACCACUUCACCUACCACCACUGCUCCUGUUUCCUCCAGUAUUCAACACUUCAUAGAAGUAAACAUACCCUCUUUCACAUUCUCUACAUCUUCCCAAAGCGUAACCUCACCUAUCUUUUCAUCCACCGAAACCCACAAACCUAGCCCAUCCAAUCUCAACCACCAAAUACUAACAUACACAACGUCCACGACCAAACCCAUAAUGACCUCACAACCCCUUUCUAUUCUUACACCUCUAGCUACACCAAACCAAAACACCCAAUUCAAAAACCCCAAAAUUACACCACCAUCAUUUUCUGGCUCAGAAAAUGUGACAGACUAUUUCAUCAAUCUAGAGUCUGCAAUCAUCGUAAACGGUUGGAAUUGUGAGCUCGUACCCUUCUUCAUCGACAAGCAUCUAACCAAAGAAGCUUUAUCAUUCUUCCAAUAUCUCAAAAAAACCUUCACACCCCUAACUUACACAACCUUCAAACAAAAAUUCAUAGACCAAUUCACUAGUCAAAACCUAACAUAUCAAUACCAAAUUCAAUUAGAUGCAUUAACAAUGAGUGAAAAGUCCUUGAUGGAUUACGUCUUCCAAGUCAAAACCCUUUGUCACAAUUUAAAACUACCUGACAACUUCAUAAUCUUUCACAUCCUGAAAGGUCUACCACCACAAAUCAAAAGCUUGCUUACGCUAUAUCCACACGACACUCUAGACCAACUAGAUGACUCCCUAAGAAAAUUUAACUUACGCACUUCGGAAUUAUCCACUGAAACCCCCGUAGCAAAAACGACUGAAACCAGAGUCGCAGAACUAAUACAGAGAAUAGAGCUACAAGAACAACAAAUCAAUGCCUUAAAGUCAUCAAAUACUUCCAACUUCAAAAAGCACAAACGUUACAAUAACUCUUCGAAGCCAUCUAAUGAACAGCGCCCAGACUCGUCCCAACACAACUCCAAAAGCCCAUCACAGACUGAGUCCUCAAACCAAUGUCCUAUCUGCGAUGGCAAACAUAGCAAAGUGGACUGCAAUAUACAAUUCUGCAGAUACUGUAAAUCCUUAGGUCAUACAAUCACCACAUGUCCAGAUCCUAAAUGUAAAAUAUCCAAAAACAAUUCAAAUUUAGCGUAA